rnacentral:lncRNA from 1 species
GCCAAGGUUUUGCUAAAUUGAAACACGACUGUACACAGCUCCUAAACUGGAGUGGUCAAUCCCAUCUUGACAUACGCACCGACAAGUCAAGUACUUGACUACACCCAGCAGCCUUCCGUCACUGAAUUAAAAAUUCAGGUAGUCCAGUGCCUAAGUGUAGUGAGUUACUUGCAAGUCACUGUGGCGGUCUCAGGUCGGAGGGAUAUUUAUACCCAUAUUC